rnacentral:rRNA from 1 species
AAACCGUUCAGGGGUAAACCCGAGAAACCCAAAAGUUCGAACGGGGAGAUUCAUCGUCAGCGCCGCUGGCUUCGCGUCGGUCGGCGAUGCCGGCGCGGGUCCGCCGUGUCUCUCGGCACGGCUCCCGCGCUGGCACGCCGCCGUGCGCCGAUGUCCGGCGCGCGUCGUCGUGCACUUCUCCCCCAGUAGGACGUCGCGACCCGCUGGGUGCCGGUCUACGGCCCGGGACGGACGGCUGCAACGUCGCCGGUGAAACGGCACGCGGCAAGCCCCCGGUCGCCCGGCCGGCUGCCCGGCGGUAAGAUGGACGGUACGAGGCCGCGCCCCCGGGCGCGUCGAGCCCGUCGCAAGCGAGUGCCACGGUCGCCGGAGGUACGGACCCAGUGCCGUCCCCGGUCCUGGCCCGCUGUUGGCAGUACGGUGCACCUUCGACAGGCCUGCGAGGCGCGCGCGGUGUCCCGCCCGUCGCGAGACGGGGGAGGGCCCGCGCGCGGCACAUACCGGUCGGCGACGCUACCGCUUUGGGUACUCUCGGGA